AGCUAACUUUCAAAGCUUUCCCGAUCCACCAACCGAGAAAUGAGAAAAAACUUGAAAAUAGAACAUCUUUUUGUACCAUUUUGGAGCUCUAGAUUUUCAAUCUUUGCCCCUCAACUCCUCAGAAUUCCUUGGCUCCAAACAAUGAUCCGAUUUAUUUUGUUGCGAAAUAGGCAAGGCAAGACUCGUCUGGCCAAAUACUAUGUUCCCCUCCCUCGAGGAUUCCGCGAAACACAAAGUCGAAUACAAGGUUCAUUGAUUGGCGGCUAACAGAGACCCCAAAUUUACUAAUUUCGUGGAGCUCCGUACGCACAAGGUAAUCUACAGGCGUUAUGCUGGAUUGUUUUUCUCAUUGUGUGUUGACAUAACAGAUAAUGAGCUGGCAUAUUUGGAGGAUGGGAGUUGCCAGUGUAUUGGGUGCGGCUCUGCUAUGCGUUAUUCAUGGUGCUACCGUAGAGAAUACUUUAUUUGAAGAUGGUGAUGGUGCAAAUACAUUUCGUGUUUUUAACUCAACUCAAGCCGAAGAAACUUAUUCAAUGGUCACCGCUAAUCACUUU